UUGCAAGAACCAGGCGUUUUUGAAAUGCGCGCUGAGAAGGGUUUCAGAACUGCUAUCUCACUUCUCCAGGGAAAUCUUCAAAUAAACUGACAAAUGCUUGUUUGAAAUCUGACAGCGAAGCUGCUUGUUAAGAUGACUUUCAAAAUAAGGAUGUGCUUAAAAAUUGAACAACCAUUCGAGAUCGCCUCCAGGAAUCUCAACAAAGGACGUCGCCGCUAUUUCACUGAUGUUUGCAGUUAGCACAUCAAACGUGAACUUUUGUGACUUCAUCUUAGCCAAACCAGACUAUUGAGCAGACCAACUUCCAAAAACAUGGAUGCAAUUAUACCCAGUCGAUACAACUUAAUUUGACUUACAGUCGAAUUUGAUGCUGGUUAUAAACUGACUUUAUAAGCGAACAGUUUUAAAACACGAGGUCCGAAGCGACUCGUAGAGCGUCGUCUGAGCCAAAGAGACGACGUUUAAUUGAGAAAGACGGUGGAUCCUAUGAAAACGACAACCGAACAGCGUACAAAAGGACGACCAUGCAAACAGCAUCGCUA